rnacentral:rRNA from 1 species
AGUGAACGCUGGCGGUAGGCCUAACACAUGCAAGUCGAACGGCAGCACAGAGGAGCUUGCUCCUUGGGUGGCGAGUGGCGGACGGGUGAGGAAUACAUCGGAAUCUACUCUGUCGUGGGGGGUAACGUAGGGAAACUUACGCUAAUACCGCAUACGACCUACGGGUGAAAGCAGGGGAUCUUCGGACCUUGCGCGAUUGAAUGAGCCGAUGUCGGAUUAGCUAGUUGGCGGGGUAAAGGCCCACCAAGGCGACGAUCCGUAGCUGGGCUGGAGGGAUGAUCAGCCACACUGGAACUGAGACACGGUCCAGACUUCUACGGGAGGCAGCAGUGGGGAAUAUUGGACAAUGGGCGCAAGCCUGAUCCAGCCAUACCGCGUGGGUGAAGAAGGCCUUCGGGUUGUAAAGCCCUUUUGUUGGGAAAGAAAUCCAUCUGGUUAAUACCCGGGUGGGAUGACGGUACCCAAAGAAUAAGCACCGGCUAACUUCGUGCCAGCCGCCGCCGUAA